GGGAGGAGGUGUGCAAUCAAACCACAAAUGCAGAAGGACUGCUGGGAGCUGAAUGUGGGGGAGAAGACACCAAAGGGAGCGGCAGGACACAACAAGUGUGGCAUGGGAAGACAAAGGGGGAAGUGGGGACGAGCAGGAGGCCUGGGACUUUAAAUGCUACUGGAAGUCAGAAGGGAAGAGAUGACUGAUACCAGAAAAGGAACUGUACAGCUGGAAAGUGAAAUGUGAGAUGGGAAUUGCACAUGUGAGAAGGGAAGGCAACUGAGGCUGUUGAUGGGGCAAGGAAACUUCAGGGUGCCUUUUAUGAGAAAACUUUGGGCCCAAGAAGGUUUAUGCUGAACCCUCAAACACAUGCUGUUCAAAUGGCUUGAAAUAUUGAGUGAAGUGUGUUCAUCUUUCAUUAGCUGGAGAAAAGGCUCUGCAAGGGAUAUAAUCACCAGCUGUGGAGAGCUUUCUGAAACUCGAACUUACUCCUCAGUGUCCCGGCUCCUUCCUCUUGGUGUAUCGCUGGGGUUUGCUGCAUGCCCCCACUCACAUCACAUGGUCCUGCCCUAGGACCCUGAGAGCCUCCUCCAACAGCAGGCUUUUUACUUUCUUGUAUCUCUACCCCCUGAGCCUUGGAGAGUUCAUGGAGUUCCUUGGCUGCCAUGAAAUCAGCAGGUACUGAAGGAAAUGGUGUUGGGUACUCAGGGGUGGCUUUCUCUUCAGGCAUGGCCUAAGUAAAAG
rnacentral:lncRNA from 1 species